AUUCCUGCUCCAAUAGCGUAUAUUAAAGUUGUUGCAGUUAAAAAGCUCGUAGUUGGACUUCUGGCAGGGCGCCGCGUGCCACAGUAGUGCGCACAAGGGCCCGGCCAUCCUUCUGUAAACGUCGGGGAAGUUUAUUCGUCCGCGGCGGGAUCAGUUAAUUUACCUUGAGAAAAUUAGAGUGUUUCAGGCAGGCGUAGCCGGAAUACAUUAGCAUGGAAUAAUGGAAUAGGACUUAGUCUCUUUGUUGGUUCGAGGGACUGGAGUAAUGAUUAAUAGGGAUAGUUGGGGGCAUUAGUAUUUAUUAGCUAGAGGUGGAAUUCUCUAAUUUGAUAAAGACUAACUUAUGCGAAAGCAUUUGCCAAGGAUGUUUUCAUUG
rnacentral:rRNA from 1 species